rnacentral:rRNA from 1 species
CCGCUGAGAGGUNACGGCCACAUUGGGACUGAGACACGGCCCAAACUCCUACGGAAGGCAGCAG